rnacentral:lncRNA from 1 species
GUUAUGAAGCUAUACUCUUAUGCUCCAAUGGAUUGUAUUUCUACUUGUGCUGUUGCCCUUAUAGCCCUCUCUGUAAACUGCGUACUUUGUAUCACUAUUUCAGCUUAACCUAAUGUUCCUGCUUCUACCCAAAAAAAAAAGUUAUAAACAACACGAAUUCAAUGUCAGGAUUAUGAAAUGAUUUAAAACUAAACAUGCUUAUCCUCAACAGCACUGCAAGCUUUGGGUUUUAUGAUAAACUGACCUGACGGAUUCGCUCCACAAUCCUAAGCCUAAGCCCCCAGGCAUAGAAAGCGGGGUCUGCAUUCAUGUUGGAUGCUGGCCGAAAGAAAUAGAAACCGACGAUAGAAGUGGUGUGUUUGCUUGUUCCAUCGAGGUACACCGUGGAUAAAGUGUACGCGCAUACCCAUCU